AGACUACAAAAACUUAUAAGAUAUGAAGUAUGCGAUCAAAAAGCUUGAUGGCUCUGAGUUCCGAAAUGCUUUUGACCGCCAAUCUGUUCGGGUUGGUCAAGGACAUGGGGAGAAGAGCACUUUGGAAAUGGUAAGGUGCACAAAUAUGG